rnacentral:rRNA from 1 species
GACGAAGGGGGCUAGCGUUGUUCGGAAUUACUGGGCGUAAAGCGCGCGCAGGCGGCCUGCGAGGUGUCACGUGAAAGCCCCGUGCUCAACGCGGGAGGGUCGUGGCAAACCGGUAGGCUUGAGGCCGGUAGAGGUGGGUGGAACUCCUGGUGGAGUGGUGAAAUGCGUAGAGAUCAGGAAGAACACCCGUGGCGAAGGCGGCCCACUGGGCCGGACCUGACGCUGAGGCGCGAAGGCGUGGGGAGCGAACGGG